GAUCAUGGCUCAGGACGAACGCUGGCGGCGUGCCUAACACAUGCAAGUCGAACGGAGAUAAAGAUUUCGGUUUUUAUCUUAGUGGCGCACGGGUGAGUAACACGUGAAUAACCUGACCCAAAGAGGGGGAUAACACCUGGAAACAGGUGCUAAUACCGCAUAAGACCACAAUGUCGCAUGACGAAGGGGUCAAAGAAAAUCGCUUUGGGAGGGGUUCGCGUCCCAUUAGGUAGUAGGCGGUAGGUAACCGGCCCACUACGCCGACG
rnacentral:rRNA from 1 species